CUUUGUGCUGUAGCUGGAACCUGAGCAAUGCCAUUUUAUACAAGACAAAGCUGUUUUCCAAAAUUAAGUUGUAAUGGCUGCCCCAUUCUACUCACAAUAACUGCUGGCCUUGGCUUCUGUAAAUAAAACUGCUAGUUUGCUCUGUGAAAUAACUACUAUGUAAAGCUGCUUAAACUUUGCUAAUCAGUAACUGCUCCCGUGGCCCUAAUGUGACAGGCAAGCAGUCCUAACGCAUGCCAUCUUGGCUCCUGUGACUUGUAAUAAGUAACUAAGGUCUGUG